UUAUUAUAAGCAGCUGAUGUUACUUUGCAGUUGUUUGACUACUGCGAUUUUCAGAAGCCAUUUCACUGAGUUGAAAAUUUUGUCAGAAGCUUUUAUUUCAAUACUUUUACAUUUUUAUUCUAUGGAAUGUUUUUUCAAGCUUUUAUGUUUUUCAAUUUGUUUAGAUGAAUACUCCAGUAGAUAUGCCAAGACAAACACGAAAGUGAUGUUUACCUGAUUGAAAUAGAAAAUAUAUGUAUGUGCCUUUAUUUUAAGUAUGUGUAUAAAAGUUUGACAGAGUAAAUUUAUUAAAAAGAGGAUAAUAGGCAUCAAAGAAAUUUAGAACGAUAUUCUCUAUGUUAAGUGGACAGAUAAGACAGAAAUACACAAAAAUCACUACACUACAUGUUAACACUGGAGGAAUAAGCAACACUCAAAGCAUUAAGCUGUCUUCUGCGCUCAAAGGAUCACUCAUAUGGACACACCCAUCCCUCUCAUCCUGUCACUGGGUCAAUUCAUGUAAAAUCAACUUAAUGAUCUCAACCAGCUGACUUCCAGAACGUCACUGGAGCCAUCAUCCCCAAAAUCAUGUUUCCUCAAAGCUCAUAGUCAGUGUCAAUUCUUUCAAGUGUUCCUGGCAUAUGGUCUCAAGAAGAUUUCAGAUAUUUGAACCUACUUCAAGUCAAAUCAUCUGGAAAAACCUGAGUUCCUGAUAUUUGGUUCUUAGCUCUCUCUUAUUCAGAUGUCAAAAUGGAGGGGCACGCACUGAUGUGGUCUUGGAUGAUAUUCAUCAACAGCUUCCUCGUCCAGACCUUCAGAUCUACAGUCAAGCACUUCCUCCUUUCUUCCAAUGCACUUAAAUUGUGCAGAGACAAAGUAGAGGCUAGGGUUCCUCUGAAGUCUGCCUGGGAUACCACACUAGGAACUGCUUUCGUCUUUAAUUUGGCAUUCACAUCAAAAUUUGUAUUUAUGACCAGGAGCUCAUUGGACUUGCAUUGUAUCACACUUAAAUAAUUUGGAGACAUCAAUUAAUAGUAUCAACAGGGUUGUUUACAUUAAAUUCUGAAUGGAAGAGGUUGUAUUUGGACAGUGCAAUCUUUUUUUAUAUUUUUAUCCAGUAAUACAAUUCAGUAACAGUUUGACGGUAGUAUGUUGUCCUACAAUGAAGUAGAUUGUUGCAAUAUAUUUUUUUUUAAGUCUUAAGUUACCUUGUGUGGGCUAACACAAAUAUGAGAUCAUCAGAUUUAAUCUUUUUGGGGGUUGAUUGCAUUUUAUUUGUCCAUUUUUGCAUUUCCUUUUAAGUACUACAUUUGGAGGCUUUAUUC